UCCAAAACCAUUCCUAAAAUUUAUUCAGAACAAAUUGUAAUAGGCAAAUCAUAUAAUUAAUUUACCUGAUCAUUUAAAGUGACAUAUUUAUUUUUUUACCUAGUCAAUUUCCCCACAAUAUUAUCUAAUUUCAGACCAGACAGAAUUAAUCUCCAGUUAUAUUAAAAUAACCUAAAUGGGAUGCGAUAUCUAACGGAAACGUGUCACAUAUUUUGGGACAGACAUAGGUUACCUGCUAUUUAUAGAGGCGCUACUUAGUUUUAUAAACACUAUCGCCGUAAAAUUUUGACAAAAAUGCUAUAAAUGCCUUGAUUGGUCUUAUGAGGUGGUCGUAACGGUCCAGAUGCGAAGACGGAGAAUGCACAAGGCCAAUUGUUAUGUAAUACCCGGAUUGUCCAGUCAACAGGUGCUACAAGCUACAAUGAGCAGUUGCCGCCAUUACGAAACUGGCUCCGCGCCAAAAUUGACAAGAUGGCCGACCACGGAUUGAUU